UCUCUACUUCACUUUUAGUUUCUUUUGUUUUCCUCUACAGUCAAAGUUCUCUCUCCACGUUGAAAAUCCAAACCCCACCACCCCAGCUUCCUCGUCCGCCAUUCAUCGUCCUUGCAACUGUGUUAUGGGUAUCCAGAUCUUCAAACAAAUAGUUUAUACACUCAUUCCCAGCUUCUUCACUUGUCUUCGAAAUCCUUCUUUCCACCGCAUCAAGCCAUGGCUAAAGGUCCUGGAUUCUACACUGAUAGCGGCUAGAAAUCCAGAGAUCUGUUGUACAAGAUUAUCACAGUGACAAUAAAUUUACUAUCAUAACUUACUCACCUACUAGAGUUGUGAGUUCAUUUGAUUUUUUUAAAAUUUUAUUUUGAAUUUCAUUCUUCAAUAUUUAGUUUGUUCAUUUACUAUUAGGGAUUUUCUAUUGGUUAUUCAGUAUAGAGUGAGAUUGAGAAAGUACAAGAGAGCUUCAGAUUUAUUAAAGUGAUAAGGUGAACACUUGGAGGUUGUAUGAAGUCCCAAUGCUAAGUUAAUUGUUAUUCUUGCAAGUGUGUUGACUGUGAUUAAUAAUGUGGUUUAUGAAAUUUUAUCACAGCAGUUUAUUCACGGAAGUUUCUGAGAGGUUGUUCAUUUUAUAUUUGCACAAUUUCCUGCUGAGUUUGAAUCAUGGCGUUUUAUUUUGCAAGAUGUUUUGAUAGUGUCCUUGAGAUUAUGCUUCGUUCUGGAAAAAAUCUUUCAGAAGUUGUUAUGAUGAUGAUCUGUGAAGGGGAGAAGGACAAGAACUGAUUGGACCUGCAAUGUAAUUUGGACUCAUGGGUUAUGGGUUUGUGCUUGCCAGUGUAUUUUCAUAUAUGCUUUUCUGUCUACAGAAUGAAAAUUAAAGUUCAUUGCAGAUGUUUCACAAUUUUUUUAGUCAUGCCUUCUCAUGUUUUUUCCUUUGAUUUAAUCUUCCAGUUUUCAAAACACCUAUAUGGACAUUGAGUUUUCUGCAAAAAAAAAAAAUCAUAGUUUAAGUAAUUGUUCAAUUUUUUAAAUCUAUUUCAUAUUGUAAUCGUACAACUUUCCCAUCUAGCUCUGCAACAUAUUGUACCUGUACAUUAAUAUAUGAGAAGGCAUUGUAUUUAUAUAUCAUAUUUCUCAUUUGUACUUUGUAAUAUAUAGCAGACCUACUUACUAUGACAUGUCUAUUUAAUAAAGCAUAUAAUUCAUAAUGGUUGUAAUGUUAUAGAUUAUUGUGCAUUAUUUUUGACUAUUACCCUGCAAGAAUGUCAGUUGCAAGCCAUGCUUAAAUAAAACAGCUGUCAACAUCCCUUUAAAAACAGGUAAUGCACACAGUUUGUGCAAACUUGACCCAUGACUGGUAGUAAGCUAGGAAAUUAUAGUCCUAACCUAACCAGUUUAGUUGGAACUGAAAUAGGUGAUUAUCCAAUAUAUAUACACUUUGUUCGACAGACGGUGCAAUCAAUUAACAACCUAAUAACAGUAAAUUCCAACAGCCUAUUUGAUGAAUUUUAUUGCAUGCUUGUCCAAUAGGUUAUUAGUUAAGACUUUCCAAUUUGUAGUUCAACAUAUUUUCCAAUUUGUAUAUAAAGAUUCAUGUUAGUUUGAGUAACAUGUAUUUUCCAAUCUGUAGUUCCUUUUUCAAAAGUUUAACUUCCUCAGUUAUCUGUCAUUGUCAAAUUAGUUCUAAUACAUGAUUUCCUUGAAUUUAAAUUUUAUGAUAGCUCCUUUGCAGGAUGUCCGCAAGGCAGCAUAUACUUGCAUUACUGAGAUACUGAGAGUUAGUGGGCAUGAAAUGAGCAUUGCUGUAUUGAAAGACUGAUUAUGUUGAUUUGAAAAUGAUGGAGGUGACGUUAACAUUGCAAUUUGGGGGACAUAAAUUGAUCGUUUGUUAAAGUUAGGACUACUGAAAUUGUAAUUUAAGCAAAUAUUUAUACAUAAGUGCUUGUGUCUUUGGGUAUUGUUUAUGUUAAUCUCAUUAAGGAGGUAUGGAUGUUGUCUGUCGUGUUUUUUAUGUAAGUUAGUUGAAUUUUCCUAUGUAAUUCUUUUUGAUGUGAGGUUGUGCAAAAUGUUAUACAGAAUAAGGAAAAGUCAAUAGCACUAAAAACAAUGGGAGAUGGUCCUGUUCUUUUGCACAUGGUGGAUACUCUUGUAAAGAAUGGUUUCAUCUAAGUCAUACAUUAUCGAUUGCAAGUUUUGCCUAGAGGUUGUGUUGCUGAAACAAACUAAGAAUAAUACAAAGUGCAUGCUUUUAAUGUAUAUUUCUCUUGAGUUAUACAACAUUUCUUCUGUCCGUUUUUUCGAUUGAUUUUAGGAUGAGUUUUGGGUGUGAUUUUCAAACUGAUUGGUAGUGUGUGAAUUGAGUACCGAUUUCAAACUGAUUUUAAAUUGGUUAUACAAAGUUUAAAUUGGUUAGAAUGA